ensembl:ncRNA lncRNA:CR43605 long non-coding RNA:CR43605
UCGGGGCGAAACUAAGUUAAUUGUAAUUGCAGCCUGCUCAUGACAUAACUAACAGUUGGCUGACAGCUUUUCCAUCGAUUAUCGACGAAGCCAAGAAAAGUCAGGGACACAAGUCACCGAUUCAUUUAUCAAGUUUCAACGAUGAUACGUUUUGGACAAUGACAGUGGAAAGUUGUGUAAUCACGGCUAAGAGCAUAAAGGGGAAUCAAAAAAUAAAAAAAAAAAGAGAAUAACACGCAUUUGCUGACGUCAGUCGCGCAAGCACAAACAGCUUGGGAAAGAUUUAUCAAGUGCUGACUACUGCCGGCGACCAACGGAGCCUUUGUUAACGGGUUUUGCUUGACGAAAAAGAGGGAACGUGCAGAAGUUGGAACUAUCUCAUGUCCAGCAGGAUGGCAGCCAAAGGAUUAAUACACAGCCACACCGCAUAAGCUGCUUAAGUCCUGGGUCCUCCGGCAAGCCAAAGGACUCACACGAGUGACAAACGAAUCAGUUCUGCGCCAUAAGGUGGAAUCUCAAUUAUGUCUCUGCCAAGUCAAGCUUAAAGCCCAGCCUGUUGUAGCCAUUUCAGGCUCCAAAUCUAAUUUAAUACUUAAACAAUGCCGAGUGACUUCGAAGUUGGUUGGUUGACUAACAAAGCCAUUGUAUGGCGCUUAACUCGUAAUUUACAUGAAAAACAUUUCGGGCUCUCUUCAGCGGGUUAUACAAUUAAAUCCUCCAUUUAACUAGAAUUUUAUGUAAGCAGUUUGUGCAUCGCUACAACAGCUUAAAACCUAUUUUAAGACGGAAUAAAAUCCAGCUACUAAGGUUCU